GUGGACACACACCUGAAAGUAAUUAAGCACCCAAGGCAGCGGGAGGGAGGAAGGAAUGACUUCCUACAGAAGGGACUUUUGAGUGAGCUGUUGAGCAUCUCUCUUGGCUGUCCCAUCAAAUCCAUGCCUAGUUCCCAUGUCACUGUCAAAUAAGUUCCCAGUUUCUUAUUCACCUCAUCUUUGCACCCACAUCUCCCAUCACCAACGCACACCCAGAGACACUCCCAGUCCAGCAUUAAAUCCUGGCAUUUCUGCUUCUGUCUCCCUUCUCCUUUUCACACCUUUGGUCCAAACUGUAAUCACUGCCCACCUGGACCCAGUUAGCUCCCCCUCCUCCAGCCUGAGCGGGUUCCCUCUCAUCUGUCGGACACACAUCAUCGAGAAUCAUCUUCCUCAAGUGUCACUUAGAUCACAUUGCUCUCCUCUUCACAUGCCCGUAAAGGCUCCCAGCUGCCUCUCAAAUCAUAAUAAAACUCUUCGCAUCUCGGACUUCAAGGCCUACCACCAAUUAGCCCUGCUUUACCUAACUGCUGUCCAUUCCUGCCCAGCUCAGGUUGGCCCGCCUCGCUCCAGCCAAGCAAGGCCCUUCCACCUGCGCUGCCAUCCUGAGGCGCCCAAAGACCACCAUGUGUGUACAUUUGCAGGAGACUCCACUGUGCCUUUCCAGCACAGGUACUAACACUUCCAAUCUAGAAAUCAGACCCUGACUGGCAAGAUGGCAAGCGGCCGGCCUUUUGGCUAGAGUCCAGGUCUGCAGCACAGGCAGUGGACCUGCAGGAGCAUCUUCCCAGAGAGACAGACCCAGUCUAUAGUGACCUGAGCCAUGUGGUUAAACAGCGUCCCAGCAGACCCACCAGCUACAGUGACCUGACCCCAGGGGUUCUGUGUGUAGUGGGUUCUGGCCACAGAAAGCCACGGUACUAACUGA